AUAAGGUUGAGGUGGAGCUCGAGCGGCGGAGUAGAGGAGGCGAUUCUCCCCGUCCAUGGUGAUUUCGUGAACUUCCAGCGCUCGAGCUUCAUUUCUGUCCCCUUUCUAUUCGCUCCCCGAUGUCGUGGUUGGUUGUUCCUCUCUGUCGCUCUGUCGAGUAUGCUGUUCUGCUUGUGUUUGUUCCAAAUCGAGGUGAGUUCAUGUCACCCUCUCGCCUUCUAAUGCAGCCGCUGGUAGGUGUGAUUUCUAGAUUUUGUGGUUGUUGUGGUCGUCUCUGGUGGGCUGCUGCUAUAGUUUGUAGAUGCAGCAGGGUUUCCCCUUGUUUCUGUAGAUGUAGCGUGCAGGAUUCUGUAGAUGUAGCGUGGGGGUUUCUAUAGAUGUACCAGUAGCCUGCGGGAUUUCUCCUGCUUAUGUUCGGCUCAUGUGCCUGUACACGAGGAUUCUGUAGAUUCCUAGCUCUUUCAGUGAUGCUACCCGCUCAUGUCCUGAUGCUACCUGCUCAUGUGAAGCUCUUUGUAGUCUCUGAUUUCGGCUGCUGAUUUUUUGUUGUUAGAUGUAGCUGUUUAGUUCCCCUUGGUACAUGUUUAUGUACUUCUAGAGGUAUGAUUUUUGAGUUUAAUUUCAGUGUAUUUUGUCUCAGUCUUUCAGUGUAAUUUACUUAGUAUUUCGUCUAUAAUUUAUUACUCCCUCCGUCCGGAAAUACUUGUCGGGGAAAUGGAUGAAUCUAGACGUAUUUUAGAUAUAGAUACAUCCAAUUUUAUCCAUCUCUCCGACAAGUAUUUCGGGACAGAGGGAGUAGUUGAUUGGUUUGGCUUGACAGUGUCUUUUUGAAUGUAAUUUCAGUGUAAUUUGUCUCAGCUUUGCAGUGUAAGGAUUUACUAUGUAAUUUAUCUCAGUAUUGCACUCUAAUUUGUUUCAGUAUUUUACUGUAAGGAUUUACAGGGUAAUUUAUCUCAGUAUUGCAGUGUAAGUUGUCCCAGUCUUUCGCUGUAAUUUACCUGUAAUAUUUCCCCGUGUGAUUUGUUUGGAUUGCUUCUUGUUGUAGCAAUCUAUUGAGAAAUCUUCAGCAAGCAAAGAUGGUGAUGUUCCCCCUUGCAGUGACUUGCUUUUUGAAAUGAAUGUGCAGAAAUCCUUUGGUGCUCGUUUUGUGCUCUUGCCUUUUAUUGCUCGGUUGAUUAUUUUUGUUGUUUUACUGGAUUUUUUUCAGGCUGCCCAGGUAGUUAUAGACCUUGUUCAAUCUAGGAACAAAGACAAGCACAAGCUAUUUGUUGAAUGGUCACAGUCCCUUAUAAUUGAUGUUCUAGAUUGCUUAUCACACUCAUCUCUGAAUGUCAAAUCUGUUCCUACAAGUGAGGCACUAAGUCUAUUUUCUAUUCACUCUUUCAUUGCUGAGAGGAACUUUGAAACUGUUGUUGACAAUCCAUCUCCUCAAGUCGAGCGGCAAAUCCCCAAUUUAAGUCUUCUGGUUCUUUUCUUUCUCCUUCUUCAUUGCUAUUGCAUGUGCUUCAGUUCAUUUUAGCUGCUGCUAUACUGGGAUCAACAUCUUCAGGGUCUUGCAACUUUUAGGGAUUUCUUUUAGUUUUUUUCUGAAAUGUUUCUCCUUUUAUGUUCCUCAGCUGAAAAUUGUUGUGUGUACCUGUUGCAGAUUCAUGUUAUAGAACAGGUUUGUGUCCCAGGGAUUAAAUUCUCCUCCACCAUCUUCGCUUCGCUGCCUCUUCAUGAUGCAAGUCUAGCUCCGAUGUCUGCAAGGUAGGUUUAAUGAUUGUUAGUGCGUUUCCUUCACCAUUUGUUUGUAAUAGUUAUUCAGUUGUUGUUUUCCUUACAUUUGUUAUAUCUUGUUGUGAUGAAACAAUCCUCUACUUUGCUCCUGUAGUUUUCCUCCUUAGUUUCCCCAAUGUUCGUAGAUCCAUCUCCCGAAUGUACCUGCAAGGUUCAUCACAAGUUGAAGUUUAAGACAUUUAGGUAUUUUUUGCAGCGGUUAAUUGAGAUUUUUGAUUUUAUACCUUGUAUAUAAUGUCGGAAUGAAGGAGUGCAGUGAAAGAAAAUGAUUCUUGCAUCA